CGAGACAUUGAAUAUACUUGCUUUGGGUUGCUGGAAUUAAAAUGAAGAUGGUCUUAGCUCUCGUCCCGAGAGCUGCAAUUCUCACCUGCUCAUAAAGUAAGAGAAUUACAGAAAACUGAAGUUUGAAACAUGGCCUGAUAAAAUUCACUCAGUGUCUAGAAGUCUGCCCGAAGUGAAGGCUACUCCAGGCCCAUCCCACAACAUUCGGGGAUUACUACCAUUCAAGGUAUCAUCAAGUCCCCUCCUGACUCAAGCAAGUAAGGCUACAGAGGGCAGCUGUGCUCUGCCGGAAGGUCAGCUGUGGAGCAGGAAAAGACCCAGAAACUCCGCUCUCCUCUUGCUGGGCACGCUGGCCUGA
rnacentral:lncRNA from 1 species